rnacentral:rRNA from 1 species
GCCUACGGGGGGCAGCAGUGGGGAAUAUUGGGCAAUGGGCGCAAGCCUGACCCAGCAACGCCGCGUGAAGGAUGAAGGUUUUCGGAUUGUAAACUUCUGUCGCGAGGGACGAAGAAUGACGGUACCUCGUAAGAAAGCCCCGGCUAACUACGUGCCAGCAGCCGCGGUAAUACGUAGGGGGCAAGCGUUGUCCGGAAUGACUGGGCGUAAAGGGAGUGUAGGCGGCCUUGUAAGUUAGAUGUGAAAUCCUACGGCUUAACCGUAGAACUGCAUCUAAAACUGUGAGGCUGGAGUGCAGGAGAGGG